rnacentral:rRNA from 1 species
GGGACACGUGGUAUCCUGUCUGAAUAUGGGGGGACCAUCCUCCAAGGCUAAAUACUCCUGACUGACCGAUAGUGAACCAGUACCGUGAGGGAAAGGCGAAAAGAACCCCGGCGAGGGGAGUGAAAAAGAACCUGAAACCGUGUACGUACAAGCAGUGGGAGCACGCUUAGGCGUGUGACUGCGUACCUUUUGUAUAAUGGGUCAGCGACUUAUAUUCUGUAGCAAGGUUAACCGAAUAGGGGAGCCGAAGGGAAACCGAGUCUUAACUGGGCGUUAAGUUGCAGGGUAUAGACCCGAAACCCGGUGAUCUAGCCAUGGGCAGGUUGAAGGUUGGGUAACACUAACUGGAGGACCGAACCGACUAAUGUUGAAAAAUUAGCGGAUGACUUGUGGCUGGGGGUGAAAGGCCAAUCAAACCGGGAGAUAGCUGGUUCUCCCCGAAAGCUAUUUAGGUAGCGCCUCGUGAAUUCAUCUCCGGGGGUAGAGCACUGUUUCGGCAAGGGGGUCAUCCCGACUUACCAACCCGAUGCAAACUGCGAAUACCGGAGAAUGUUAUCACGGGAGACACACGGCGGGUGCUAACGUCCGUCGUGAAGAGGGAAACAACCCAGACCGCCAGCUAAGGUCCCAAAGUCAUGGUUAAGUGGGAAACGAUGUGGGAAGGCCCAGACAGCCAGGAUGUUGGCUUAGAAGCAGCCAUCAUUUAAAGAAAGCGUAAUAGCUCACUGGUCGAGUCGGCCUGCGCGGAAGAUGUAACGGGGCUAAACCAUGCACCGAAGCUGCGGCAGCGACGCUUAUGCGUUGUUGGGUAGGGGAGCGUUCUGUAAGCCUGUGAAGGUGUGCUGUGAGGCAUGCUGGAGGUAUCAGAAGUGCGAAUGCUGACAUAAGUAACGAUAAAGCGGGUGAAAAGCCCGCUCGCCGGAAGACCAAGGGUUCCUGUCCAACGUUAAUCGGGGCAGGGUGAGUCGACCCCUAAGGCGAGGCCGAAAGGCGUAGUCGAUGGGAAACAGGUUAAUAUUCCUGUACUUGGUGUUACUGCGAAGGGGGGACGGAGAAGGCUAUGUUGGCCGGGCGACGGUUGUCCCGGUUUAAGCGUGUAGGCUGGUUUUCCAGGCAAAUCCGGAAAAUCAAGGCUGAGGCGUGAUGACGAGGCACUACGGUGCUGAAGCAACAAAUGCCCUGCUUCCAGGAAAAGCCUCUAAGCAUCAGGUAACAUCAAAUCGUACCCCAAACCGACACAGGUGGUCAGGUAGAGAAUACCAAGGCGCUUGAGAGAACUCGGGUGAAGGAACUAGGCAAAAUGGUGCCGUAACUUCGGGAGAAGGCACGCUGAUAUGUAGGUGAAGUCCCUUGCGGAUGGAGCUGAAAUCAGUCGAAGAUACCAGCUGGCUGCAACUGUUUAUUAAAAACACAGCACUGUGCAAACACGAAAGUGGACGUAUACGGUGUGACGCCUGCCCGGUGCCGGAAGGUUAAUUGAUGGGGUCAGCGCAAGCGAAGCUCUUGAUCGAAGCCCCGGUAAACGGCGGCCGUAACUAUAACGGUCCUAAGGUAGCGAAAUUCCUUGUCGGGUAAGUUCCGACCUGCACGAAUGGCGUAAUGAUGGCCAGGCUGUCUCCACCCGAGACUCAGUGAAAUUGAACUCGCUGUGAAGAUGCAGUGUACCCGCGGCAAGACGGAAAGACCCCGUGAACCUUUACUAUAGCUUGACACUGAACAUUGAGCCUUGAUGUGUAGGAUAGGUGGGAGGCUUUGAAGUGUGGACGCCAGUCUGCAUGGAGCCGACCUUGAAAUACCACCCUUUAAUGUUUGAUGUUCUAACGUGGACCCGUGAUCCGGGUUGCGGACAGUGUCUGGUGGGUAGUUUGACUGGGGCGGUCUCCUCCUAAAGAGUAACGGAGGAGCACGAAGGUUGGCUAAUCCUGGUCGGACAUCAGGAGGUUAGUGCAAUGGCAUAAGCCAGCUUGACUGCGAGCGUGACGGCGCGAGCAGGUGCGAAAGCAGGUCAUAGUGAUCCGGUGGUUCUGAAUGGAAGGGCCAUCGCUCAACGGAUAAAAGGUACUCCGGGGAUAACAGGCUGAUACCGCCCAAGAGUUCAUAUCGACGGCGGUGUUUGGCACCUCGAUGUCGGCUCAUCACAUCCUGGGGCUGAAGUAGGUCCCAAGGGUAUGGCUGUUCGCCAUUUAAAGUGGUACGCGAGCUGGGUUUAGAACGUCGUGAGACAGUUCGGUCCCUAUCUGCCGUGGGCGCUGGAGAACUGAGGGGGGCUGCUCCUAGUACGAGAGGACCGGAGUGGACGCAUCACUGGUGUUCGGGUUGUCAUGCCAAUGGCACUGCCCGGUAGCUAAAUGCGGAAGAGAUAAGUGCUGAAAGCAUCUAAGCACGAAACUUGCCCCGAGAUGAGUUCUCCCUGACUCCUUGAGAGUCCUGAAGGAACGUUGAAGACGACGACGUUGAUAGGCCGGGUGUGUAAGCGCAGCGAUGCGUUGAGCUAACCGGUACUAAUGAACCGUGAGGCUUAA